rnacentral:hammerhead_ribozyme from 1 species
ACCACGAGUCCCAAAUAGGACGAAAUACGUAUCUUGGAU